rnacentral:rRNA from 1 species
GACGAACGCUGGCGGCGUGCUUAACACAUGCAAGUCGAACGAUGAAGAAAAGAAUCGCAGCUUCGGCAGAAAUUCAUUUCGGAUUAGUGGCAGACGGGUGAGUAACGCGUGAGCAACCUACCUCUUACAAAGGGAUAGCCUCGGGAAACCGGGAUUAAUACCAUAUAACAUUGUGACGAAGCAUUUCGAUGCAAUCAAAGCUACGGCGGUAAGAGAUGGGCUCGCGUCCCAUUAACCGGAUGGUGAGGUAACGGCUCACCAUAGUGACGAUGGGUAACCGGCCUGAGAGGGUGAACGGUCACACUGGAACUGAGACACGGUCCAGACUCCUACGGGAGGCAGCAGUGGGGAAUAUUGCACAAUGGAGGGAACUCUGAUGCAGCGACGCCGCGUGAGUGAUGAAGGAAUUCGUUUCGUAAAACUCUGUUCUAUGGGAAGAAAAGGACUGUACCAUAGGAGAAAGCGCCGGCUAAAUACGUG